AGAAGACUAGUUUAUAUAAUAAAAUGUUAGAUCGUAAAUCUAAAGAAAGGUCUUUUA
rnacentral:tRNA from 1 species